CCUACGGGAGGCAGCAGGGAGGAAGAUUGGUCAAUGGGCAGACGCCAGAACCAGCCAAGGCGCGGGAGGGAAGACUGCCCGAUGGGUUGUAAACCUCUUUUGUCAGGGAGCAAUUGGCGCUACGUGUAGCGUUAUCGAUAGUACCUGAAGAAAAAGCAUCGGCUAACACCGUGCCAGCAGCCGCGGUAAUACGGAGGAUGCGAGCGUGAUCCGGAUUUAUUGGGUUUAAAGGGUGCGUAGGCGGAAUGCCAAGUCAGCGGUAAAAUCGCGGGGCUCAACCUCGCUCCGCCGUUGAAACUGGCGUUCUUGAGUGGGCGAGAAGUCUGCGGAAUGCGUGGUGUAGCGGUGAAAUGCAUAGAUAUCACGCAGAACUCCGAUUGCGAAGGCAGCAUACCGGCGCCCAACUGACGCUGAGGCACGAAAGCGUGGGUAUCGAACAGGAUUAGAUACCCGAGUAGUC
rnacentral:rRNA from 1 species